rnacentral:lncRNA from 1 species
AGGGGUGGGGUUCAUAACCAUCAAUGGUUUUCAAAAGCUUGAAGUACUGAUAAACGUAAGAGGCCAUAUCAUAUCUCUGCAAAUUAAAACAACAAAAAGAGUUUAAAGCAAAAAAAUAAAAGAAACCAUAACAUAAAUGUUUCUGCCCAUUUUAGUGAUGAUGAAUGUAUCAUUGUGGUUUCAAGGUUACUCAGCUUCCUUCUGUAUGUACCGCUUAUAGUAGCGGGAUUCCAGAUGUGGAGGACUUUUGUUAUGAGAAAACAAUUAGUUUUAAAUGAGUGAAGUAGAGAGAAUAGUGUACCACAUAGUUUUGGAAGAUGUAUGUGAGUCAAAAUUCUGUCAUUUAGUUUAUUAUAAAUUCUGCUCUCUUUUUGCUUAUUUUUCGCUUAUUUUUCUCUUGUCAAAACUUUUUUUGUUUUUCAUAUAAUCAAAGUUAAAAUUGAUUUUGAAUCUUCGUUCAUCAUUGAUUAUUCACUAAAAUAUGUCAAAUCGUAUUUAUCUGUUUU